rnacentral:rRNA from 1 species
GACGAACGCUGGCGGCGUGCUUAACACAUGCAAGUCGAACGGAAAGGCCCUGCUUGCAGGGUGCUCGAGUGGCGAACGGGUGAGUAACACGUGGGUGAUCUGCCCCUUACUUUGGGAUAAGCCCGGGAAACUGGGUCUAAUACUGGAUAGGACCAUGCUGUAGGUGGUGUGGUGGAAAGAUUAGUUUCGGUAAGGGAUGAGCUCGCGGCCUAUCAGCUUGUUGGUGGGGUAAUGGCCUACCAAGGCGUCGACGGGUAGCCGGCCUGAGAGGGUGGACGGCCACAUUGGGACUGAGGUACGGCCCAGACUCCUACGGGAGGCAGCAGUGGGGAAUAUUGCACAAUGGGCGCAAGCCUGAUGCAGCGACGCCGCGUGGGGGAUGACGGCCUUCGGGUUGUAAACUCCUUUCAGCCAUGACGAAGCCCUUGUGGUGACGGUAGUGGUAGAAGAAGCACCGGCUAACUACGUG